rnacentral:lncRNA from 1 species
CCGCUCCGGGCUGCGAGUGCCCCACGGCCUCAGCUCUGAACGCUUCCCCCACCCCGCCCCGGAGUGGACAAGAAAUAAAAAUACUGGGAAAUGGGUGACAAUGGAGAGUGGUUCUGGGUCCCUGCUGGGAGGCCUGAGUCACAGGAAGAAGAAAAUGGGUGUUUUCUCUCAGGCGCAUCAGGAGGCUUAGGCAGUCAUGGCAAAUGCUAAAAUAAGA